rnacentral:lncRNA from 1 species
GAAGCCCCAGAGGGAAUAUUACAGUGCUCUUUCGGCUCUGCCAUCUGCAGAGGGCUUAAGUGUUAGCACCUCAGUUGGCCCUCUGCUUUUUCACGUGAGGUGGCUGCUUUUUGCCAGCAAGAGCAAAGGGCCAGUGUGACAGCUUUUUGUGUCCACACUUGUGGCUCCCAAGCUCUUGUCCAGCACCCAGGAAAAAUGAGGUCGCACAAACAAAUUGAGCGAUGGGGAAAAGGCACUGCAUCCAAGCUUCCAUCUGCAACCAUUGAUUCUGAAGUGCCAGAUGCAA